ACUAGAGUGAUUUAUGGCAGGUCUCGGCCCUGGGCCUCGCAUAGUGCCCCAUGCCAGAGUCAGCUGUGGCCCUGAACCGUUGCCUGGUCUCUGCGCCCGUAGGCUGCAGGCACUGAAGCGGGUUACACAUUG
ensembl:snoRNA